rnacentral:rRNA from 1 species
GACGAACGCUGGCGGCGUGCUUAACACAUGCAAGUCGAACGGAAAGGCACUGCUUUUGUGGGGUGCUCGAGUGGCGAACGGGUGAGUAACAGGUAUGUAACCUGCCCUUGACUUUGGUAUAACUUCAGGUAACUGGGGUUACUCCCGGAUAGGAGCCCCUCCUGGAUGGUGGGGGUUGGAACGUUUCGGCGGUUGGGGAUGGACUCGCGGCUUAUCAGUUUGCUGGUUGGGUAGUGGCUUACCAAGGCUUUGACGGGUAGCCGGCCUGAGAGGGGGACCGGCGACAAUGGGACUGAGAGACGGCCCAGACUCCUACGGGAGGCAGCAGUGGGGAAUAUUGCACAAUGGGCGGAAGCCGGAUGCAGCAGCGCCGGGUGCGGGAUGACGGCCUUCUGGGUGUAAACCGCUUUCGCCUGUGACGAAGCGUGAGUGACGGUAAUGGGUAAAGAAGCACCGGCUAACUACGUG